UCACCGGAGUUCUCAAAGUCUUUGUAGGAGGAUGCCCAUGACUCGGCCAUGCCCAGCAUCGUGUUCUCCAUGAUCUGGAUGUCAGUGAUGGGACAGUUGCACUGGGGAUACUCGUCUGCACACUGGCAGAUGCACUGGUUGUUGCGGCACAGGCACUCGGUUAUUUGUCUAAAGGACAUGCUUGAAAGCCUUCCAAUGUUCAACAUGAGUUGUCACUUUUGUACUGGCUCGCCCUCAGCAUGACAGCCUUCAGUCGAGAUUGAUGCCUCCCAUCCAAAAAAGUUCUGGGACAAACACUAUCAUUACCAGUCUGUCUGACAGUGAGAGUCAAAGCAAACCCUGUUCGGCCUGGAAGCUGGUGCUCAGUACUCCAUGAGAGCUGAGUGGAGGAGGAGGAAGACGACAGGGGAGCAGGGGAGGAUCAGCGAGCAGCACAAUUCUCACAAGAACUCAAAUAAAUGAUCGUCAGGGCAUAAAGGAAGGUGCUUUAGCACCACCAGGGGUCUAUCCACGCACGUGCCUACACCAGUAUCAAACAUUGAUAUUGCAAGGUGCUGAUCCAGGCAGGGCCAGUGGUAUAUAAACUAAAGGCCAACAAAUGGAAGUAGUGCAUUUCGCCCUGUCCUACUGUCUCCCAACGUAUCAUUUCUGGACUGUGGGCCAAUUGAUAUCUCUCAGGAGAUCUCAUAGAAAUGAAGGUUGUGCGGCGGUAAAGCCUUUUUCUUCAAUCCAGGGCCUGGAAAAUAAAUCCUCAACUCUUCAAGCCAGUGGACU